GUUUUUUCUCAAUCUACUAAAGAUCUAAAUUAUUUUGAUAUAGUUUCAGACUUACUUUGUAACUGAAAGUGAUUUUUCUCAUUUUUGUUGAUAGAAAUAAAAACAUCAGUAGGAGGGGAAGGAGGAAGGAAGGAGAAGAAAGAGGAAGAAUAGGAGGAGAAGAGGAAGAGAGGAAGAAGUCGUGAACAGCCCUCCUGCAUUUUGCAUCAGACGGAGUCUUGCUCUAUUGCCAGGUUGGAGUGCAGUGGCGCGAUCUCAGCUCACUGCAACCUCCGCCUCCUGGAUUCAAGCAAUUCUCCUGCUUCAGCCUCCCGAGUAGCUGAGACUACAGGUGCGUGCCACCAUGCCCAGCUAAUUUUUGUAUUUUUAGUAGAGAUGGGAUUUCACCAUGGUGGCCAGGAUGGUCUCGACAUCUUGACCUCGUGAUCCACCUGCCUGGGCCUCCCAGAGUGCUGGGAUUACAGGCGUGAGCCACCACGCCAGGCCGACAGUACCUUACAAAACUAAACAUACUCUUACCACAUGUUUCAGCAAUUGCAGUCCUUGGUACUUACCCAAAGAGAUUGAAAACAAAGAUAUGUUCAACAAAAACUUGCACACAGAUGGUUAUAGCAGCUUUGUCCAUAAUUGCCAAGACUUGGAAGAUGACUUUUAAUAGCUAAAUGGAUAAAUAACCUGUGGUACAUUCAGACAACCAAAUAUUAUGCAGUGAUAAAUAGAAAUGAGCUAGCAGAGACAUGUAAAGACAUUGAGGAAACUUAGAUAUAAGUUGUUAAGUGAAAGAAGUCAAUCCAAAAAGGCUACAUACUUUAGGACCUCUGGGGGAAGGGAGGGAUGAAUAGGUGGAGCAGAGAGGAUUUUUUUGGGUGGUGAAAGUAUUCUGUAUGAUACUGUAAUGAUGGAUAUGUGUCAUUGUGUGUUUCUCAUAACCUAUAGAAUGUAAAAUACAAAGAGUGAUCCCUAAUGUAAACUACGGUCUUAAUAAUAGUGUAUUAGUAUUGGCUCAUCAAUUGUAACAAAUGUACCAGGAGAUGUUAAUAGUAGGGGAAAUUCCUGCAAGAAUUGCCCACUCCCACCCUCUCAUUUCACAGAUGAAGUCCCGUGACCCAGAAGUGCAAAGCCAUCUGUUGCCGCUCCCAUCCUAUUGGAGACAUAGCCCUGACUCUUCCUCUGAGUUGGGGUCCAGGGCUCUUUCUCUUCCUCUAAAUAGCCACCUCAGCAGAGCCUCCUGGCAAGUAGGAUUUAGUCUACACCAGGCUUCCUGCAUGCCACUAUUUACUUUCCUAAUGAAGACAGAAAACGAGGUGUGAAGGCAGCAGCAUGUUAGAUUUUUCAGUUCUAAUGGGAAGAAUAAAAAACUCACUAUGAUGCACUAAAGAGCCAUUAGUGAAAACAGUUUUAAGUCUCUACCUCAAUUCCCAAGAAAGCUGAUGGAGAAAAACGGCAGCUUCAACAUUUGCACUUUGACUUGCCUCUCUCCAUGGGAACUUCAGAUUUCCUUCCUACAGCUAACACAAUCCUAAAUUUCUAGUGUGGCUUUCAGGGAUUACCAAAGACAGAAUGUUGAAUGCAUUGUAUGGUUUCUGUCUUCAGUCAUAGGAACCAUUCUUUGCUCUAGGAGUAGCAAUGAGAUCCAAAUCCAGGAAAUAUGGCAAUAUCUUCGAUUUACAUCAUUAGCCCUCAGUAUUAUUUUUUUUUUUUGAGACUAGAAGCAGAAGGCUGCUUCAUGCCUGGCUGCCUAUCAAAAGAAGCAAUUUUCAUAAAUCUAUAGCUCUGAACAAUGAAAACGGUUCCUUUUACCUCUGCUGAAUCAGUGUCUGGAGCAUCAGGGACAGGGGAAAAGUUCUAACAUUAGCUUUUUUCUUCUACCUGCUGCUAAUCAGAGUGCAAGCAUGAAGUUGUAUUCUUCUCAGGGCCAGUAAAGCAGGGAAAGAAAUCACUAGUGCUCCUCUCCAGUCUGAAGAUCAAAUAAACAGCCUUUUUUAUCAUCCAGCUGCUAGGGGUAUGGCUUGAGCUACAGACAGCUCAUUAGAAAGAACCACAAAGUUAGAAAUUUGGCCUUUGGGGGGAAAAUGUCAUUCUUCAAAUUCCCUGUCUUGUAUUCUUUAACUAAGUACAUAUCCUUUUUAGGGGCCAGAUGGGAUGGGGAGACCUGUUUUGAACCUUAAGACAAUAAUAAGAGCUUAGAUAUUUACUGAAGGAAUGAAAUGGUUUGUCUGAAAGUUGCCCAGUUUCACAACUGUUGUUCCAUAAAACCAAAGAGAACGAUGCUUGCCACGUGGGUAAAAGCUGACUUUAGUUGACGUCUCUUCCUUCAUUCUUUUUCAGCUCACACAUCCUCCCCAUUCUCUGAGUUCCCACAAAGACUGUUAUUGCUGGGGCUCAUAAAAUUAUACUCCAAAGUAUGAUGCUUUGGCAUCCAGAGUGCUUUGAACUAUAGGAGAUUGAAGGCCCCAGAAGCCAAGUUUCCCUCUGACCUCCUGCCUCCCUGUCUCCCACCCCCUACUUUUCCCCUGAAGUGAGUCCUGGAAACCAGAAUUCUUCUUGCCCAAAGCAAGCCGUGACACCCUGGAAAUAUCACUCUAACCUUCCUUGCCUUUCCGUGUGGCAGCUGGCCAUGAAGAAAUUCUCUGACCUACCUUGUUUGAUAGCAGAUCACAAGACCCUGGUUCCAGAGCGGUCCUGCUUUACACCGAAGGAAAGGAAUGUCAUACAGAAAGGCCAAGAAGAAUCUGAAGAGAUGUCCAAUCACCUUUUCACGUGGCUGCCCAUUCUUCAUUGAACCUAAGCAUUAAAAUAGACAGUUUCCCCUGGGUCUUUGGGUCUUCAUUUCUGAAGACUCCAUGUCAUGUAAAACUUUGAUUAAAUAAAUGUAUCAUGC
rnacentral:lncRNA from 1 species